GACGAACGCUGGCGGCGUGCUUAACACAUGCAAGUCGAACGGAAAGGCCCUGCUUUUGUGGGGUGCUCGAGUGGCGAACGGGUGAGUAACACGUGAGUAACCUGCCCUUGACUUUGGGAUAACUUCAGGAAACUGGGGCUAAUAUCGGAUAGGAUCUUCUGCUGCAUGUUGGGGGUUGGUAAGUUUCGGCGUUUGGGGCUGGACUCGCGGUUUAUCAGCUUGUUGGUGGGGUAGUGGCAUACCAAGGCUGUGACGGGUAGCCGGCCUGAGAGGGUGACCGGCCACAUUGGGACUGAGAUACGGCCCAGACUCCUACGGGAGGCAGCAGGGGGGAAUAUUGCACAAUGGGCGGAAGCCAGAUGCAGCAACGCCGCGUGCGGGAUGACGGCCUUCGGGUUGUAAACCGCUUUCGCCUGUGACGAAGCGUGAGUGACGGUAAUGGGUAAAGAAGCACCGGCUAACUACGUG
rnacentral:rRNA from 1 species